AUGAAGAUGAUGAUGAACAUGCAUGUCAACCCUGCAAUAUAAGCAAGAACUAAUUAUUACAGGAAAAGGUACAAGUAUGGAGAUAAGAAAAAUAAUGUUUGGAUGAAAAUUGGAUUAUUUCCGGGGAUAAGAAAAUAGCAUUUGGAUAGAUAAUAUGGAAUAAGAAAAAUAGCUGGUAAUUUUAUAUAGAAAAUGAUGGUGUUGGUGUGAAUAGUUAUACCCUGUUAUUAUAGGUAACAGAGAACUACUGUUCUCGGAUAAAAAAUUAGCGUUUGGUAUAAAGGGGAUAAGGGGUUAUCUUUAUCCCCCUAUCCCCU
rnacentral:lncRNA from 1 species